rnacentral:misc_RNA from 1 species
UACAGAGGUGGCGAGCGUUGUUCGGAUUUAUUGGGCGUAAAGGGUCCGUAGGCGGUUCGGAAAGUCGGAUGUGAAAUCCCAGAGCUCAACUCUGGAACUGCAUUCGAAACUCCCGGACUCGAGUGUGAGAGGGGUGAAGGGAAUUCCCGGUGUAAGGGUGAAAUCUGCAGAGAUCGGGAAGAACACCUGUCGCGAAGGCGCUUCACUGGCUCACAACUGACGCUGAGGGACGAAAGCUAGGGUAGCAAACGGG